ACAGAAUCCAAAGCAGGCUCCAGGCUCUGAGCUGUCAGCACAGAGCCCGACGCGGGGCUAGAACCCAUGAACCGUGAGAUCAUGACCUGAGCUGAAGUCCGAUGCUUAAACCGGCUGAGCCACCCAGGUGGCCCUAGUAAAUUAACAUAAUUAAAUUAAUGUUAAUUAAAUUAAAACAAGUUAAUUUUUAGUGAUGACUGUUUAUCAACGUGCUUGCAAAAUUCCUGCACGCUCCUGGGAGCACCACCUUUUUAGAGAUGGGCUGAAAACGCAGAGACAGAAUUGAGAACCGAAGAAGACCAAAGAAGAGGGAGGAAGCUGUGAAGAGCUGACUGCCUACUCCGUGUUGGUGUGGGUGGCGCAGAGUUCUUCCAGCACAGGGCACAGGGAGCCAUCGCUGGAGGCUGAGAGCUCCGACCCGGGCUUCUGUGUCUCCUCCCAUCGCCCCUCCUUGCCCUUCUGCCCCAGGUAGAGGGCAAGAGUGGGCCCGAGGGAAGCCCGCGACCUCUGCGUCUGUAAAAUGGAGCAGUGAACGACGUGAAGUCAGGCAGGAGCCCGGGGCGCCGGGCAGGCCUGGCACGUGCUGGGGAGGGGUGAGGAGGGAUCAUGGCAGCGCUCAGACCCGUCCUCCCCUUUCCAGGCUUUUUGGCCCAGCCCACUGAGGUGAAGAUUACGGGGGUCACCUGGCGCAGUGUGAGAGCUGGCAGAGGCAAAGCCGGCCACCUGCUCCCCAAAUCCUCUCCUCCAAGAGACCCCCAAUAAAGAGCCGGGAGGAAACCCCAGGGCCCCUCGGCGCUCCCCGCGGGAGAGCAAUGGUUCUGGAAGCCGCACCCUCCCCGGAUCCCUGGGGCGGCUGCUCGGCGCCCGCCGGGAGCCUCCGCCCCCUCCACCUCCUCCCGCGGCGAGGCGGCGCGCGAGCUGGAGCCGGUGCGCGGGGCCGCCCGCACCUCGUCCCCGGCCCGUCCCCGGCCCGUCCCCGCUCGUCCCUCCGCUCCCGCCCGCCGCGAUCCGGCCUCCUGCGCCCGGGACCCGAGAGAGGAAACAAUCCCUUUCAACCAUCCCAUCGGCUGCCAUUUCCGGGCCCUGCAGCGGCCUCCCUAACCCAGACACUGGGAAAAUGCAAAUGCCGAGACCGAAAUCCCAUGAGAGUCUGGAAAAGAAAUGGACGUGAACGUCACUUAUGCCAGGUAUGGAGAAAUUCUGACCACGUCUCCAGAGUCCAGCCCAUUGCGGGAGAUGAUUGCUGUGGGCAAGGAAGAUGGUUAUUAGCGCAGUGUCUCAGAUCAGCAUUCCAUGGGCCGUAAUUUGCCAUUCCCUGGGACCAGGAAGGUUCUGGAAAACAAUGCAUGCUUCAUUUUAACAUGGUGAGCUGUUGGUUGUUUGCAAGGCCAGUGCCAGGUUUUGUUUACAAAACAACAAAUUCUACUGCUCCUGCCAAUGACUGGGCAGCUUGACAUCAAGAAACGGCAGAAGUCGAGCCAGAAGGUGACGUUGCAGACAGGGUGACGAAUCUCUUUGCUUCCCCAAAUCUAGCAUCUUCUUAGGGAGAGCACAGCCAGAGAUGCCAACCCCAUCUUCCACAGGCCAGCUCUGGAUCUUUCAGUGAGUAGUAUAGGUGCCAUGCUGUUCGGUCUCUAAAGAGUAAAGCAUGAAUCCAAACAGAGCUUUGCUUUAAUCGAAGAGUAUUUAUCCUCGUGAGAGGUUCUGUGUUUGGAGAUCUGUAAGCAGAGACUGUGUGCUAGAAAAAGGCAGGGAGAGAGGGCCACCAGACACUGCCACACCGUUCCAACUCCAGGGGGCACCAUCCGGUCGGUUCCAGUGUGUACGGGCCCCCCGGAACCGUGCGUCGUGGCAGCCCGGACAGGAUUCCCUUGGUAAUAACCUUUCCACAUGGCAUGCACGGUUUGUACCCCUGGAAGCCAGAAUCCUGCAUCUGGCAACUGACGAUGGGCUUUAGAACACCCCACUCCUUUCCUGGGGGACGGGACCCGAUUGCUGCAAGAACAGCUUCCCUUAAGACUCUCUCAAGUCCUGCUUCAGACACUCAGAACCGAGUGGCCUCAGGUAAUUCACUGAAUCUCAGCUUCCUAAUCUGUAGAUUGGAGAGAAUAAAACUACUUGGAAUUCAAAGAGAGCA
ensembl:lncRNA